rnacentral:rRNA from 1 species
UACGUAGGGGGCAAGCGUUGUCCGGAUUUAUUGGGCGUAAAGAGCGUGUAGGCGGCCAGGUAGGUCCGUUGUGAAAACUCGAGGCUCAACCUCGAGACGUCGAUGGAAACCCUCUGGCUAGAGUCCGGAAGAGGAGAGUGGAAUUCCUGGUGUAGCGGUGAAAUGCGCAGAUAUCAGGAAGAACACCGGUGGCGAAGGCGGCAUCCUGGACCGGUAUUGACGCUGAGGCGCGAAAGCCAGGGGAGCAAACGGG